rnacentral:rRNA from 1 species
GACGAACGCUGGCGGCGCGCCUAACACAUGCAAGUCGAACGAGCGAGAGAGAGCUUGCUUUCUCAAGCGAGUGGCGAACGGGUGAGUAACGCGUGAGGAACCUGCCUCAAAGAGGGGGACAACAGUUGGAAACGACUGCUAAUACCGCAUACGCCCCGAGGGGGAAAGAUUUAUCGCUUUAGGCAGGGCCCAUGGCAGAUUAGGCAGUUGGUGAGGUAACGGCUCACCAAACCGACGAUCUGUAGCUGGUCUGAGAGGACGAUCAGCCACACUGGAACUGAGACACGGUCCAG